rnacentral:rRNA from 1 species
UGGGGGAUCUUGCGCUAAUGCGCGAAAGCGUGACGCAGCGACGCCGCGUGGGGGAUGAAGGCCCUCGGGUUGUAAACCCCUUUCGGCAGGGACGAAGCGAAAGUGACGGUACCUGCAGAAGAAGUCCCGGCUAACUACGUGCCAGCAGCCGCGGUAACACGUAGGGGACGAGCGUUGUCCGGAUUCAUUGGGCGUAAAGCGCGCGUAGGCGGCUCGGAAAGUCGGUCGUGAAAGGCUGGGGCUCAACCCCAGGACUGCGUCCGAUACUUCCGGGCUGGAGGUAGGUAGGGGGAGAUCGGAAUUCCUGGUGUAGCGGUGAAAUGCGCAGAUAUCAGGAGGAACACCGGUGGCGAAGGCGGAUCUCUGGGCCUUACCUGACGCUGAGGCGCGAAAGCUAGGGGGAGCGAACAGGAUUAGAUACCCUGGUAGUCCUAGCCGUAAACGUUGGGUGCUAGGUGUGGGCGGACAUCGACCCCGUCCGUGCCGAAGCUAACGCAUUAAGCACCCCGCCUGGGGAGUACGGCCG